CACGUAGGGUGCGAGCGUUGUCCGGAAUUAUUGGGCGUAAAGAGCUCGUAGGCGGUGUGUCGCGUCGGCCGUGAAAACCUGCAGCUUAACUGUGGGCUUGCGGUCGAUACGGGCAUCACUGGAGUUCGGCAGGGGAGACUGGAAUUCCUGGUGUAGCGGUGAAAUGCGCAGAUAUCAGGAGGAACACCGGUGGCGAAGGCGGGUCUCUGGACAACAACUGACGCUGAGGAGCGAAAGCGUGGGGAGCGAACAGG
rnacentral:rRNA from 1 species